rnacentral:rRNA from 1 species
GAUGAACGCUGGCGGCGUGCCUAAUACAUGCAAGUCGAGCGAACAGAUAAGGAGCUUGCUCCUCUGACGUUAGCGGCGGACGGGUGAGUAACACGUGGAUAACCUACCUAUAAGACUGGGAUAACUUCGGGAAACCGGAGCUAAUACCGGAUAAUAUAUUGAACCGCAUGGUUCAAUAGUGAAAGACGGUUUUGCUGUCACUUAUAGAUGGAUCCGCGCCGCAUUAGCUAGUUGGUAAGGUAACGGCUUACCAAGGCAACGAUGCGUAGCCGACCUGAGAGGGUGAUCGGCCACACUGGAACUGAGACACGGUCCAGACUCCUACGGGAGGCAGCAGUAGGGAAUCUUCCGCAAUGGGCGAAAGCCUGACGGAGCAACGCCGCGUGAGUGAUGAAGGUCUUCGGAUCGUAAAGCUCUGUUAUUAGGGAAGAACAAAUGUGUAAGUAACUAUGCACGUCUUGACGGUACCUAAUGAGAAAGCAACGGCUAACUACGUG